UAAAGUUAAUAAACAUAGACUUACCGACUAACUGGUCGGUAUCGAAAGUCCCCUCCAAUAUGUUGUCGAAGGAAGUGAAAUUGUUGAACUUGAUAGCGGUGUUCGGAUCCACCGAUGUUACAACCGUCUCGUCCAUCAAGUAAAUCCCAUAUUCAGGCCUCGUAGUCUUGACUGGAUCAGAAUUAGGUAUAACCUUGAAGUUAGUUAACCCGAUCCACUUAUUUUCAUAGAUCUUGUCGAAGUAGAAGGCAGAAAAGGGUCGGUGGAUUGUAAUCUCCAUCCUCAUCCCCUAUUCAGAAACUCAAAAAUUGUUAAAAUCAGGAACAUGCAAAGAAAAAGAAAAAAAAAUUAUUACCGUUUCAUAUAACUCUUAGUUCGAAUGAAUCGCCCCUUU
rnacentral:sRNA from 1 species